AAGGCUAUACUUUCAGAGAUCAUUUCUGUGGUCACUAGAGAAGUUUUUCUGAAUGUGCAGAACAUCAGAAGCUACGAGGAGGAAAAGGCAGCCAGGUCUCCCUGAGGGGAGGAUGGUUCUCGGAGUUGCAGUACAGCAGCCAUUUGCCCUUGAGGCUCAUUCUCCUUUUCUUUGGGAAAGUAUGAGACAGAGGUUAUACUGAGUGAU
ensembl:snoRNA U3 Small nucleolar RNA U3